rnacentral:rRNA from 1 species
GACGAACGCUGGCGGCGUGCUUAACACAUGCAAGUCGAACGGAAAGGCCCUGCUUUUGUGGGGUGCUCGAGUGGCGAACGGGUGAGUAACACGUGAGUAACCUGCCCUUGACUUUGGGAUAACUUCAGGAAACUGGGGCUAAUACCGGAUAGGAGCUCCUGCUGCAUGGGGGGGGUUGGAAAGUUUCGGCGGUUGGGGAUGGACUCGAGGCUUAUCAGCUUGUUGGUGGGGUAGUGGCUUACCAAGGCAUUGACGGGUAGCCGGCCUGAGCGGGUGACGGGCCACAUUGGGACUGAGAUACGGCCCAGACGCCUACGGGAGGCAGCAGUGGGGAAUAUUGCACAAUGGGCGGAAGCCUGAUGAAGCAACGCUGCGUGCGGGAUGAAGGCCUUCUGGUUGUAAACCGCUUCCGCCUCUGACGAAGAGUGAGUGACGGUAAUUGGUAAAGAAGCACCGGCUAACUACGUG